AGCGUAGACGGUGUGGCAAGUCUGACGUGAAAGGCAUGGGCUCAACCUGUGGACUGCAUUGGAAACUGUCAUACUUGAGUGCCGGAGGGGUAAGCGGAAUUCCUAGUGUAGCGGUGAAAUGCGUAGAUAUGCGGAGGAACACCGAUGGCGAAGGCAAUCCCCUGGGCCUGUACUGACGCUCAUGCACGAAAGCUGGGAGCAAACA
rnacentral:rRNA from 1 species